CUUUUGUCCACAUUCUCUAGCAUGGGCUUCACAGAGAAAGCACACGCCUGGUUUGAAUCGUACCUGACAGGACAAUCAUUCAGUGUAUCUUGGCUUGGACAAUCCUCUACCGUGCACCAUCUUUCCACAGGAGUGCCCCAGGGAGCUGUACUAGGACCUCUUCUCUUUGCCAUAUACACCACCUCACUGAGUGAGAUCAUUCGAUCACAUGGCUUCUCCUACCAAUGCAGACGACACCCAGCUCUAUCUGUCAUUUCCACCGGACGACCACACUGUCUCUGCACGAAUAUCAAACUGUAUCUCUGACAUAUCUAAAUGGAUGAAAUCCCACCAUCUCCAACUCCACCUCUCUAAAACUGAACUACUUGUCAUCCCAGCAAAACCAUCCAUACAGCACAAUAUCUCAAUCCAAAAUGACUUCCUAUCUCUGGCUCCUUCAAAGGCAGUUCGAAAUCUGGGUGUUGUGAUUGAUGAACACCUGACCUUUAAAGAUCAUGUUGCCUCUGUUGCCCGUUCAUGCCGCUUUGCGCUGUAUAACAUACGAAAGAUCAGGCCAUACCUAACACAACAUGCCACCCAGCUCCUGGUGCAAUCUACUGUCAUCUCCCGCCUCGAUUACUGCAAUGCCCUUCUAACUGGUCUUCCAGGCUGUACUGUGAGACCUCUUCAAAUGGUCCAGAACGCAGCGGUGCAUCUGGUCUUCAAUCAGCCAAAAAGAGCACAUGUCACCCCUCUGUUCAUUGAGCUCCACUGGCUACCGCUAGCAGCACGCAUCAAAUUCAAAUAGCUAACGCUAGCAUACAAAGUCUGAGAUGGUACGGCUCCCAUCUACCUGAAUCCUCUUGCAAAGGCUUACGCCUCGGCCCGGCCGCUCCGGUCAUCACAGGAUGGUCGGCUAGCAGUGCCUACACCACGCUCAGGACAAUCCAGACUCUUCUCAUGCAUCGUUCCACAAAUGUGGAAUGACCUUCCGAGCACUACCAGAACAGGAGCUUCCUUUUCAAUUUUCAAGAAACUCCUGAAGAAACCAAAGAAGUCCAAUUGCCUUCUUUAAAAAUCCAUUUGAUGUCAUACUGAACAACUGUUGUAUUUGAUUCUAAUUUUAAUGAUUCUGUUUCAGGUGGAAAUGCUGUGUGAUUCCUGUGCCAUGUGGCCCAUGACCUGUGUCAGCCUUGCUGAGUUCUCUGUAGCAAGGUUUUCUGGUGCUUGUGGCCAUUCCACAGUGCACCUGAUCCGGUCUAACACUUCACAUCCCAGCACACGCACGAACCCAUGCUUGUUGAUGUUUGUGGUUCAUGGUUUACAUGUUUAUAGUUGUUCAUCCCACGUUUUCUUGAUGACUCUUAGAAAUGUUUCUUCACAGGUGCAGCUGCUGGUUGCUGUUUUUAUGUUGAUUUGCUAGUUGUAUUAAUUUUUCUCUUAUUUACUUGUUUAUCCUCUAUCAGCAGUCUUUAUUCCAGAUUGGUUCAGCAUUUAUAUGCUGAUGUGGCGAUACAUAACCCAAACCAAUAUUACUCAAGGGGAACCUCGUACACAUUAAGGCUCGUUGUCAUGAGCCGGGGUGAGUACUCCUGUUCUCUUAACCAUCUGUGAGUCUCUUGUCAGGAGAGGGAGUGGCCCAGCUGUUCCUGAUCAGCAAUCAGCGGGGUGCUUUCCUAUUUAAGGUGGAUGGUGGACACAAUUUGACGCCGAAGAUUGCCUCAGUUUUGGAUUCCUGUCGACCUCAUUGGAUACUGACCUCUACUCCAGGAUUCUGAUAUUCAACACACGGACCAGGAUUUGUAUAUUCAACACACGGACCUUACCACCACCCUCCAUAACUCACCUCUCAUCUCACCCAGUGCCCCAGCCACCAGGACGCCCUGCUUCUCUCCACCUCUGCUCCCUCUCCUGCGCUUCCCCCGGCUCUCUACCUCUCCCUCCUCCAGCCAACAGAUAAACCCACCACAACACUGAGCUGUUGUUGCAUUUCCAACCACAGACUUAUCUGUGCACCUUAAGUUCCUCCUUAUAAAUAAAUCAUUUUUUCUAUCAGUUUUUGGUCAGUGUUGUAUUCUGCAUGUCUUGGGUUAAGUACCUUCCUCCAAACAUGACACUCCUCUUCAAAGAGCAAAUCUGUUAAGCACAUUCUGACAGACAGACCACCAUUCUUCUGUCAUGUUGCUGUACAGGAAAUUUUUAGAGUUUUUCUUUUUAAAGAUGAAUAGGAUUACAUUUAUAGUGCAAUACUUUCACAUUAUCAUUUUCCCACACUUCUGUAUACCUGUAUUUUGUUGUUUUUCAAUAAAGAAUGACA